rnacentral:rRNA from 1 species
AUACGUAGGUGGCAAGCGUUGUCCGGAAUUAUUGGGCGUAAAGCGCGCGCAGGUGGUUCCUUAAGUCUGAUGUGAAAGCCCCCGGCUCAACCGGGGAGGGUCAUUGGAAACUGGGGAACUUGAGUGCAGAAGAGGAUAGUGGAAUUCUAAGUGUAGCGGUGAAAUGCGUAGAGAUUUGGAGGAACACCAGUGGCGAAGGCGACUGUCUGGUCUGUAACUGACACUGAGGCGCGAAAGCGUGGGGAGCAAACAGGAUUAGAUACCCUGGUAGUCCACGCCGUAAACGAUGAGUGCUAAGUGUUGGGGGGUUUCCGCCCCUCAGUGCUGCAGCUAACGCAUUAAGCACUCCGCCUGGGGAGUACGGUCGCAAGACUGAAACUCAAAGGAAUUGACGGGG